rnacentral:rRNA from 1 species
UACGGAGGGUGCAAACGUUGCUCGGAAUUAUUGGGCGUAAAGCGCGUGUAGGCGGCUUUGUAAGUCGGGUGUGAAAGCCCAGGGCUCAACCCUGGAAGUGCAUCCGAUACUGCAUGGCUUGAGUACGAGAGAGGGUAGUGGAAUUCCCGGUGUAGAGGUGAAAUUCGUAGAGAUCGGGAGGAACACCAGUGGCGAAAGCGGCUGCCUGGAUCGAUACUGACGCUGAGACGCGAAAGCGUGGGGAGCAAACAGG